rnacentral:rRNA from 1 species
UGGGGAAUAUUGGACAAUGGGCGAAAGCCUGAUCCAGCAAUGCCGCGUGAGUGAUGAAGGCCUUAGGGUUGUAAAGCUCUUUUACCAGGGAUGAUAAUGACAGUACCUGGAGAAUAAGCUCCGGCUAACUCCGCGCCAGCAGCCGCGGUAAUACGGAGGGAGCUGGCGUUGUUCGGAAUUACUGGGCGUAAAGCGCACGUAGGCGGCGAUUCAAGUCAGAGGUGAAAGCCCGGGGCUCAACCCCGGAACUGCCUUUGAAACUAGAUUGCUAGAAUCCUGGAGAGGUGAGUGGAAUUCCGAGUGUAGAGGUGAAAUUCGUAGAUAUUCGGAAGAACACCAGUGGCGAAGGCGACUCACUGGACAGGUAUUGACGCUGAGGUGCGAAAGCGUGGGGAGCAAAACAGGAUUAGAUACCCUGGUAGUCCACGCCGUAAACGAUGAUAACUAGCUGUCCGGGCUCAUAGAGCUUGGGUGGCGCAGCUAACGCAUUAAGUUAUCCGCCUGGGGAGUACGGUCGCAAGAUUAAAACUCAAAUGAAUU